UUCGACCACAAUGUAGUGCUCGAGCAGGCAUUGCUUGCCAAGUCCCUUUAACCGCUGUAUGGAGAUUUUGUCAAGGUCAGCUGGCUGAAAGUGACUUCUAUGCUACUUUCAAUCUCAUUCAGGAGCUCGUUUUCAACUCGCUCAAGAUUUUUUGAGAGUUGGUCAUCAUUAAGGGUGAAUCUUUCCCCAGGCUUGAGUGGAGGCAGGACAAGUCGCUGGAUUUGGAUUGGCUGGCCCUUCAAUCGACCUUCUAUGUACGCGCGAUUUCGUGUGCCUCUUUUAAAAUCUCGAAACAGGCCGUUGAUCACGUGUCCUUCCAUGCGCACAACAGGUAGCAAUCGAAUCUGAUGAGAGAUGGGGCGCCAUCAAAAUGGGCCGUCGCCUCCCGCAUUGCAUGCCGAUCUAGAUGAGUAGUUGGAGAUUGCUGCUGCUGUGUGUCAACGGAAGAUGAAGUCCGUAGCUGGGAGGCCUGUGCUGCUGGGUGGUGCUGCUGGACGACCAUUUGAUGCUGCUGCGUAUCCAUUUGCGGUGAGUAUUGAAUAUUUGCUGUCAUUGGUGGAGC